GUCCCGAUCCAGCUUUUUGCACUUCCGAUCCGAUACGAUAUUGUAGCUUUUAGCAUCGGCCGAUACCGUUACCGGCCGAUCCAAGCAUGUAUUAAAGAUUAAAGAUAUUUACUUAUUUUGUUGUACUACUCAUGUUGAAAAGGGUUUUACUCUUCAGAACAACUAGCCAACUUAAUUAGGUUAGUUUGAAUAAUCCACAAUAGUUGGUAAUGAGAAGCUGACCUGUUUAUUCAGGGUUAAAUAAACACAAAAUAGACAAAAUAAUAAAUAUUCAAAUUACCACACACACACUGAAUUGGCAUCAGUGCUCUGUUCUUGAACAACAAGAGUGUAAACAAUAUUGUAAACAAUAUAACAUUAUAUAUAAAAGCAACACACACAAAACCUGAGUAGAAAAUAGUCAAAUUACCACACACACACUGAAUUGGCAUUUUUAUCGAUAACUUUAAAUCCUUAGUGGGACAUGCACAGACAAGUGGGAUGCUGGACAGGUCACUAGGUGUGCGCUAGGUGUGCUGAACAACGCGGACCGGAUUUGGGGGGAAAAGCUGAAAAAAACUGGAAUGCAUUACCUACAUUGGUGCGCUCGAAAACACGGACCGGAGUUUUGAAAACAAACUGGAUCGGGAGUCCGGAUCGGGAUUUUCCCGUGCAGGCCGAUCCGAUAUUGAUAUGCAUUUAUUUGCUAAUAUCGGCGGCCGAUCCGAUCCAAAUAUCGGAUCGGGACAUCCCUAGUCCAUAUUAUAUCCAUUAUAUUGACCGGGUAUUCCCAAGACGCUCACGCUCUGCAGCAAGCCAGUCACAGUUGAUUGGCGCGGCGCUGUACAGCGAACGUAAACAAACAACUAAGCUAAGGUUAGCAUUUAACUAAGCAUUUCUUUAUUCUCCCGAGAUCCCGCUAAUGUUGUUAUAAAGUAAAGGGAAACAAGAUACCUAUUCUUCCUCCACCUCUCUCGCUUCUCUGCUUGGUGUCGCUUAUAGUUUGCCUCCCUCGCUCUGGUAACGUCACGUACGUGAAACAACGAAGCUCCGAAUACUGAUUUACGCUUCGAAUACUAAUUUUCCGAACGAGUAUUCGAAUAUUCGAAUAAUUCGGGCCAGCCCUAAUCGCCACACACUUCGCGAUUUGACUGUUUUCAGUAGGCUACACUUAUUUUCCCCCGAUCUGAAUCGGAACGCCCUACGUACUCAAACUUAGACUAGUAAGUACGGAUAGCAUGGAUAUUGGAACACGGCGAUGUAAUCAUGAAGCGGACGAGGCCACGGCGAAGUCUGGUGUGGGACCAUUAUGAUUUAAAAAAUGACUUCUUGGGGAGCACUAUAGGCCUACCACUCAAGGCGAGGUUAGCAUCGAAGCAGAAAUUAAGAACUUUCUGAGCCCCUGGAUUGUGGAAAGUUGUUCCCCCGCCUUGCCCAAUUCUUUUCACUAAAUUUCCGAUUUAGAUCGAUUUACAUAAUAAGGCAUUAUGGCAGGCCCUGCCAUUGUAAUUAGUGUAACAUAACAUAAAAUGUAAAAUAUAUAAAAUAUAAAAUAAAAUAUUUCUGUAAACAUAAAAUAUUACUAAGGAUAAGAGGUAGUUCUGAUAAAGUGCCAACAUAACAUUCAAACUUUUCAUUCAAACAUGUGUUCAUAAAUAUACAGUGUUUUGCAAAUGGUCAUUACAUUUAAAAAAAGGAAUAGUAACAGGAGAAGAAUGAGAAAAACACACACGCAGCUCUUUCCUUCACUCGUCUGUAUUGAAUGAGGAAGAGGAGCGCGAUCCCCCUACUGGAGCCCAGAGGCAUUACCAACAGAUCGACGAAUUACCAACAGAUCGACGAAUUAUUAAACCACACAGAUAUAUUUCAAAUGAAUUAUGUUUACCUCAAAUUAGAUUAUACAUGUAUGAAUAAAUUGUUGUCACACUCGCUGCCAUGUUUGUGCAUCACUUUGGUAAAUGCGUGCUCUGUGCGGGGGGAGGUCUGAGCCCAUUCCGAACUACGGGAGCUGAGAGGGAAGCGUUGGCGGAUGUUGAAGAGAAAACCGAUUUUCAUUUAAACAAGUCGACGUGAGCUACACACUCAAGUUAAUCGAUAAAAUCGGUUUAUCGCCCAGCUCUACAUCACAGCAACGUCGGUCCCCUCAGAGCGGGUGUUUUCGGCGGCUGGACUGACGGUCACCAGGCUGCGGUCGCGUCUGACCCCAGAGCAUGUCAACAUGGUCAUCUUUCUGAACAAAAAUCUGUAGACUGGUUGGUUAAGUUAUAACUUGAUUGUUUUUUUGAUAUUAUUAUUAUUAUUUGGGGAAGAAACUAGGGUUGUGUUUAUUUUUCGUUAUGUUUAUGAGCACCGGCUUCGAGCUGCAUGCUCCAUUGCUUAGAGCAGAGUAGCGCAUAACUAUUGAACGGAUCUGGUUUAACUGAGUUGUUCAUCUAAUAAUAAAGAUCCCAAUGAGGAAAACACGCUGCAUUUGUAUUUUCAUUUCAUUUUGAAUAUAUAUUUUUUAAAUUUUAAUGUAAAAUAUUAACGAUUAAUCGACUAAUUGAUCGUUAAUUCCCCCGACGAUCGACUAAGACAACCUAAUCGAAUGCCCAUCCCUACUUUGAAUAGCUACCUGACUGCUGCUUAUCCCCAGACUUUUAAAGUUCCAUUCAAGUUAUUUCAGAGUAUAAUGAAUACAGUUAAGACAGACCUUACAUUACCUAUAUCAGGGGUGUCAAACUCAUUUUCACAAAGGGCCACUCUAUGAUGAAAUGAUAAUCACACUAAGGGCCGGCAUGGAGUUUACUGACAUGCCUUCUUUUUAAUCCAAAUAGUAAAAACAACAUAUCUAUGAAUAUAUUGUAUACAACCUGCGUACAGGGUCA